rnacentral:rRNA from 1 species
UACGUAGGGGGCUAGCGUUGUCCGGAAUCAUUGGGCGUAAAGCGCGCGUAGGCGGCCAGAUAAGUCCGGUGUGAAAGUCACAGGCUCAACCUGUGAAUGCCGCUGGAAACUGUCUGGCUAGAGUCCGGAAGGGGCGAGUGGAAUUCCUGGUGUAGCGGUGAAAUGCGCAGAUAUCAGGAGGAACACCAAUGGCGAAGGCAGCUCGCUGGGACGGUACUGACGCUGAGGCGCGAAAGCGUGGGAGCAAACAGG